AACUGGAUGGCUGAGAGGUGAAGGUGUUGGACUUAACAUCCACUGGGCUCAUUGCCAUGCAGGUUUGAACCCCACUCCUGGUA